rnacentral:rRNA from 1 species
UACGUAGGGUGCAAGCGUUGUUCGGAAUUACUGGGCGUAAAGCGCGCGCAGGCGGCUAUCCAAGUCAGUGGUGAAAGCCCGGAGCUUAACUCCGGAACUGCCAUUGAAACUGUUUAGCUUGAGGACGAGAGAGGUGAGUGGAAUUCCCAGUGUAGAGGUGAAAUUCGUAGAUAUUGGGAAGAACACCAGUGGCGAAGGCGGCUCACUGGCCCGGUACUGACGCUGAGGUGCGAAAGCGUGGGGAGCAAACAGG